GAUGGAGCCCAAGUCCCAAGUUCAGAGGCUCCAGUUCCUUCCCGAUUUGCUGGCUUAGUGCUAAGCCGGGGAAUGAGACCAACAAGGCCAGUGCUGUUGAGGGCUGCUUGAAGCUACAGGUCUUUCAGGGCCCAGAUGGCUUUCCUGGCCUACCGUGCACUCCCGCUAAAACUAGGAGCUCUGCAGCCAUGGCCUUUCCCAGAGAGACACUUAACUGGUGCCAUUUUUAUGAGGGAUAAUAAGACCGAUAUCAUUGCUGGUAUGUUGGUUCCAAGGUCCUUUCAUCUCCCACGCCUCAUCUGAUGUAGAGGACAGUCAGGAGUCGUCUAGAUGCUUAUCAUCGUGGUGUUCCUGAGGAACCACCGGAGCCGGAAUCGAUGGCUUUCAUUGAGCAGUCCUUUCAUGAGUCAAGUCCCCACAAUUCAAGUCCCCACAGACUGAGGAUCACGAGGCAAGACAUUACAUAUCCCAGACUGGUCUCAAGCUUGUUGCAUGGCUGAAGAGGACCUUGACUUUCGGAUCUGCAAACCUCCACUUCUUAAGUGCUAGGAUUAUAGGAUCUCACUCUGUAGCCCAGCCUGCUUUUGAAUCUGGGAUGUUUUCUUUGCCCCAGUCUCCCAUGUGAAGAAGGUAGCCCCAAGACCUCCUUUCACAUUUAACAUUUUUACAACUGGAGGAGAGAGUGAUGGAGGAGUCUCCAGGACAUGAUGGCCAGAAGCCCCACAUCUAGAAUAGCAGCCUGCAAAGGAGGUAAACAUGUCCUCAUCGGAAUACAAGAUCCUGCUUCUCCAGGAUGGAUCUCUCCUUC
rnacentral:lncRNA from 1 species